rnacentral:lncRNA from 1 species
CUUAUCUGCACUAUCUCAGCUGUGCCUGUCGUUUCUCCAUCUGGCAGAGGAGGAGCUGGGAGCUGCAGCAGGUGUGGUACAUGGGCUCUGCAGCUUGUUGUUCCAUUACAGUGGGUAAGCCCCGUGGUGGCUAUUAGCAAUCACUUAUAUAAAACACCAGGUCUAAAGGAUGUUUAACAGAUAAGGCAGUUUGUGAGGAGGGUGCUUGUAUGUUCCUCAGUCCUUGGGGAUUGCUAGGCUCACCCACUGGGAUCUUCCUGUUCAGAGCUUUACUUAAGAUGGAUGACAGCUAGCCAAGCCCCAGAAGAGGAGCUGGUAGGAGGGCAGCGUCAUGGACAGACACAGCUGCAGCAAAAGUUGGGGAAGAGAAAGACCAAGGGGCCAUUGUAUCACUUAAAUGGCAUUCUCUUGCUAUUCCCCUACAAUCACUGCUAUGCAGUGCAUCUCAAAUUCUUCCUGCAGUACAAACCUUUUUCUUGCUUGCUACCCUGGUCUGUCUCUAGCAGCUCCCCACAUACCCUCUAUAUGCCUCUUGCCCUAGGAUCUGUUUGAAGGAAGGCAGGGAAGACAUUGCUGCUUCCUGUGGGAUAGGGAUACCUGCUGGAGGUGAUGGAGGCUGCUGUUCUGUGUGAGGCACCUGUGUCUCCAUUUGGAAGGUGCUAUUCAUAUAUGGACCAUGCAAAACCAGCAUCACCCAAAGGGCCUGAUCCAGGAAUCUUGUGCUGUGCCUGUAGGGGGAAAAAAUCAACACAAAACACUCAGUUCAGCUACAAGCUGGAGCUGAGACUCCCAGGAGGGCCAGGAAAAACAGGCAGAAGUAAUGAGACUAAUUCAUUUAUCUUCUUGCACUGGGAACCAUCCAUAUGGCAGUAAACCAGCUAAGAGCUUUUCCUCUUUUUGCUCCAGUGCAUGCUGCUCCUCCAGCUCCACGGCUGCCACUGUUUGUAGCAUCAAGCUAUACAUGUGUAAGAUGCUCAUAAAUUACAAACAAAUACUCUGAAGGUGCACUUUGAAGCUGUGUUUGCAAAGUGCCAUGACUUUUUUCUCCCUGCACCCAUUGUAGCCACAAGGCUGAGAACAAGGUGAGUGGGAAGCAUUCAAACUCUGAGCAGUUGUAGAAACUGGAGCACUGAAUAAUACACUCCUAUUUGACCCGAGCUGAGGGUUGCUCCAUGUGCAUGCAGCAAACAAAAGUUAGCCUUAGCUUUCAUCACACUUGAGGCCAAACCCUGAUUCACUUAUGGCAGUUCUCCAAUCAACUGGGGAAGACCAGGAAUAACACACGAUCUCACUAAUGUUUCACAUAGCCGUACUUCUUAUUGCAACACGAUGAUCUUAUUAGCAGUUGGAAGGCCUCAGAAACACGCAGAACACAUGCAGGUAAUUUGGGGUUUCCAGUCUUGGGAAUGUUUGUGCCCAUUGAUGUCAGUGGGAUAGCUACCACUGCUUCCAGCGGGUGCAGGAAUGCUUCUGCAUCAUUUGGCUGAUCAAAUCCAACUGUCUUAAGGAGUGGAAGGAGGCUUAGGUUUUCUGUGGGUCACCUUAGAGUGGUGAUUUGUUGGGAAUCAGGGUGCUGCUUAACUCCAGCCGGGGUCAGACAAGCUUGUACUUCUCUUCUGAGCCAAGGCUUGGAAUCAUAGAGUUGAUAAUGUUGGAAACGACCUCUAAGAUCAUCAAAUCCAAUCAUCAACCCACCACGGUGUUCCCAGUUAUUCAGCAAAUGAGUCAAAAGCUCCAUUCUCCUCUGGGAGAGAGGUGACUUUUUGUUUGCAGUGUCAGCUUCUCAGUCCCAGCUUAGUGAAGUAAAUACAAUUUUGAGAAGUUUCCUUUCUUCCCUUUUUUUUUAACCCAGGAAAGUUGCUUUUGCAAGGUGUGAUGCUGAUUUGCUGCCUCCCGUGACACUGAGAGGUGACAAAGAACCAUUUCCACUAUCAAAUCUUUAUAACUGCUCCCAGCCAGAGGAUUGUUUUCCCUAUGGUGUGUUUUCCUUUCUUUUAUUGUGUUAUUUCAUCACUUUAAUACCCUUGCUUGUAUUUCUUCAGCUCAUAGCUAUAGAAAGUAACUUCAGCUGUAGCUGUCCCGCAGCCAAACUGAUGUGCUCCGUGAAGGAGGCAGUAUCCUGUGGGUGACCUUACAGUGACUUCACUUGAUGCCUCACAGUAACCUAGAGGUAGUGAUGCUGUAAAAAAAAAAGGUUUAGUGAGAGGUGUAAAUACAAAUGCCAUGAGAUCACAUAUUCCAAACUAUAACCGGCUGCAGACACUUGGAAGAAAAUCUACUCAAAGUCCUCUUGGAAAAAACUGUCAAGCACUUAAUAAAUUUUUCCACAACCCCA